GACUCAGUUCCUCUGAUGUUGUUCUCGUUGACUGGGAGUCAAAAUGUUCCAUUUCCUCAUCACAUUCUCUGUACUACUUAUUUGCCUUAUGGGUCUCUCUCUCAGCCUUGAGGUUUAUCAGACUCCCUCUGAAGUCUUACUGAAACGUGGAGAGAACGUUCAGAUCUUCUGCCACCAUGAGAGAACUAACUACAGACUGAUGCAGUGGUUCCAGCAGUCACCGGGAGAA